UUUCAUAUAGUUCAUUAUCUUUUACUUUCUUUUGCUUGCUUCACAGAUGGAGUUUAUAAUGUCUACAAAAAAUUUUCCAUCUGGAUUAGAUCAACCUCAAAUGGAAGUUGAAGAAGAAGUAUACACUCCAGUGUAUCCACUGGGAUCAUCAGGAUAGGAAGACUUUUCCAAAAACAACACGAGUUUGGUUUCCUAAAUUGGACAACAGGGAGAGCCAGUACAGCUUCAGCCAGCUCAGUUAUGGGAAGCUAUUGUGGCCUUUUAACUACCGUAUCAGACAAACUCCAAUUCCAGUAAUAAACUAGGUGCUGGAUUCACUCUACAUCCAUGGAAAAUUUUCAUUUUAAGAAACGGUGUUUGGAAUACUCUGCUGGCACUUCAAACUCCACGGCUGAGUUUAUCAAAUGAGAGGCACAGGAGAUUGCAGAAUGUGAAAGAAUUGAGUGGGAGAGAAAAGAGAAUACAACAAAUGUUAAGUAUUAAAAAGGGGAUAUUCUUUUUAUUAUUUUUAUUUUUUCAUUUUUAAAGUUUUAUUGAAGUAUAGUUGAUUUAUAAGUUUGUCAUCAUUUCUGCUCUGCAACAAAUUUAUUGUUAUACAUGUACAUACAUCCAUUCUCUUUCACUUGUUUUCCCUCAUAGAUUGUCACAGAAUAUUGGG
rnacentral:lncRNA from 1 species